AUGGAGAGGACCACCGCAGACCCAAGAUCGGUGCGCCGCCACCUCUCCUCUCCCGGCGUCGCCCUCCCCGAGGAUCUGAUCGUGGGGGAGAUCCUCGUCCGGCUUCCGGCCAAGUCGCUCUUCCGGUUCCGUGCGGCCUGCCGCUCCUGGUGCAACCGCACCUCCACGCACCAGUUCAUCUCCUCCUUCGGCCGCAAGCUUCCUCUCGUCGGUCUGUAUUCGAACCCCCUGAAAAGCUUACACGACAAAUCUGGCCUCGAGUGUGUGGAUGUUCUUGCCGCCGCCAACAACCUCAGAUCUGUCCUCACUUUUGAUUGCUACUCGAACUGGCUCUGCGCUUCCUUGGAUGGCCUCUUGUUGGUGUCCUACGGCAAUGGUCGCCACAUUAUCUGCAACCCUGCCACCCGGCAAUCGAUCCCGCUCCCUCAGCUCACCGGAGGAGUCGUUGCAGGCUUGUACUCGUCGCCCACCGCCGACAGGGGCGUGGAGUACCGUACUCUGUUUUCCAAGGGAAGACUCCCCAUAUGCAAUCCCAAGUACUACAUCCUCACCGUCGGCUCACCAAUGGAGCCCAGACCCGUCCAGCUGCCUGAGGAACCCGACAAUCUGAAGAUAGCGUUGCUCCACGGCAUCAACGAUCCCACUCCAAGCCUGUGCCAUCGGCCAACAGUUAUGCUCAACAGCUGUCUUCACUGGGUGCCAGAGUCAUGCCGUCAUGACAAAGUGGUUGUUUUCGAUACGGUGGCCGAGUCAUUCAGAUCCAUUCAAUCUCCGACUGCCGCCCAAGAAAAUACUCGCUUGUUUGAGAUGGGCAGUCAGCUUGGCUUCAGCUUGUACAAUGGCAGAAGUGAUACAGUGAGCAUUUGGUCCCUGCAUGAUUACAACAAUGAGAUCUGGGCGCUAAGGCAUUCCAUUAACUUGUCGAUGGUGGUCACAUCCUCGAUGAGAAGUUACAUGAUUCUCUCUGACAAAGGCGAUGUGCUAAUUUCCUGCAGAGGUUCUGGCCAGCUUAUUCACUGUGAUACUGAAGCAAAUGUACUGAACCAGUUAACAUGUGAACCAAGAGAUCCAAGCUUCACUGGACAUUGGUUCAAGGAGAACAUUUCGAGGCAUGAUUUCUUCCAGAGGAAAAAAGGGCAGCGCCUGAGGCAGCAGACACGCUUUCUCAAAGGCCUCUAA
rnacentral:rRNA from 1 species